rnacentral:lncRNA from 1 species
GAGAGCGAGGUGCCCGUCUGAAUAGGCUGCGCGCGAGCGCAUGAACGCCCGACGCUGGUGAUGGUGGGCUUUGGCGGACUGGCCCAGUGGGUGCGUUACAUAUGGUAUCGGAACCCGCAUUGCCGCUGCUGCCUGAGAGAGCUUUGGGCCUCUUAAGGGGGGUGGGAUGUAAGAGGCCGGUAUGCAUGCCCUGGGUUAGUACCACCUCGCCUAGCCAAGGGGGCCGUGUUGCACUUAUAAGGGCGGGUCUCCCUCCUCUCUUAGCCUAGGUUUUGAGAGCGAGGUGCCCGUCUGAAUAGGCUGCGCGCGAGCGCAUGAACGCCCGACGCUGGUGAUGGUGGGCUUUGGCGGACUGGCGACGCUGGUGGUGGUGGGCUUUGGCGGACUGGCCCAGUGGGUGCGUUACAGGUGUACAGUAUUUUCUCUCUCUCGUCGACUAUUUAUUUACCGGACAAUUUCCCUGAAAUCGUACAGGACAUCAUGAGCACCGGAAAGGAGAGCAAAAGCGGGCCGGGAAAAAAAAAAGAAGGGGGCGCAAACCAAUCAAGCGGGCCAAAAGGAAAGCAAGGCGACGAAGGAAUCAGGCAGGCACAGCCACAGCCACCACGACCACUGCUGCAACGCAUUCUCAUUCUCACUCCAAAACCCCAAAAGGAGGGAGGGAGUGAAAACCACCCAGCUGAUGUAGACACGCAUGAAGAACAGCUUCAACUUCAAUAAUGCUGGCAUCAGCAAAGCAAAGCAGACCCGGGCCCCUUUGCAUUAAGGUUCAGCGGUUUCCAUAUAUUAGCACGACUUGAUUCAUCAUUGCGGCCGCCUAAUU